rnacentral:tRNA from 1 species
GGAAACAUAGUUCAGUGGCAGAGCACAUGCUUAGCAUGCACAAGGUCCUGGGUUCAAUCCCCAGUACAUCCA